UCUCUCUCUCUCUCUCUCGUGCUUGUCGUGCCUUCUCUUUUACAGCCCUGGCCUCUGGUCGAAUGGUGGAAUGCAGUCUCAUUCCUGCAGAGUACAUGGACUGGACCUUCAGAGUGUCGGGACAUAUGGGAGUGUUCACUGUGCAGCACUGGAAAGACAUGAGGACUUUCUUUCUUCUCAAUCUUGAAGCUUCUAAACUUAUUCCCACAAGGAGACAGAAGAAAUGGUGUCCCCAACCCUCCUCUGUGUACUGUAAUCAUAAUCAUCACGAGUCAUUCUGCCCUGUCAUCCUGAGCAGAGGGGAGGUGAGUGUCUUUGAGAACAAUGGGAGGAAGGCUGUGAGUUGCUAAUCCCACUCGCUCACUCAGCCCAUCCAGACACCCACACCACUGUCAGGGGGUGCCAAGCUGCCUUUCACAACUCCAUCCAGCCACAACACAGAGCAGAGUGUGUGAAGCAUGCUGACUCAUAUGGACUUCCUUUCUGGUGUGGUGAAGACACUUUGGGUAUACAGACUGACCUGUUGGCCACCAUCAUAAAGAAAACACCACCCUGAGGCCACUUGGUAACAGCAUUAGGAAAGUUUUGCAUAUUCCAUUCCUUACCUCACAUUUAGGGCGUUUUCUCUACAUUUUUUAUUUUAGUGCCUCUUUGUAAAAUUCCUUCUGAUAAAGUAGGGACAACUAUUUCCACUUGUUAAAAAAGUCAAAUAAAGAUGGACUAUGCAUGGUUGUCUGAACUCAGUUGAAAGCAGACUGCCAAGAUCUCCUCGGAGAACCGGGGACCGACUUUACCACCGCCCCGCUUCCCAGCAUCGACAGUCGGUCAUGGGACUGCGAGGCCCGCCGCCAGCUGGCCAGAGAUAACAUCUUUGAUGUGUGACGCAGCGGGGAGACGCCUCCACCAUGCCGACUCUCACAAACUGCAGGAAGAAUAAAAACAUUGCCUCAUUUCACUGCAACGUGGACUUAUUCAUAAAAAAAUGUUGUUUUUCUGUUGGGAAACAAACCGAGUUUUGAAAGACAACUACUGGUGCCAUAUUAAAUUAAAACUAAACACAAAGUCCUCCAAAUGAGUCAUUUCAAAAUAAAAAUAAAUCAUGAAAAUGACUGAAUUAAACACUUUGAGAGGAGCAGCUUGCAUUACAGUGGCUUCCAUUAGACUAUUGGGCCUAUUGAAAAUGUUGGUAAAUAAAUCCCUUUGAUCAGAUAACUGCUGGGAUUGCUUUCAGGGUUGAUACAGGUGUGCAGCAGGUGGAUCAAUCAGGUGCAUCUUUAGACCUUGAGCUCGGAUCGACGCGGGCUUUAGGACCCCGGGAUGAGCUGGGUGAGAGGCAAAGUG